rnacentral:rRNA from 2 species
GGGUUGUGAGGUUAAGCGACCAAGCGUACACGGUGGAUGCCCUGGCAGUCAGAGGCGAUGAAGGACGUGCUAAUCUGCGAAAAGCGCCGGUAAGGUGAUAUGAACCGUUAUAACCGGCGAUGUCCGAAUGGGGAAACCCAGUGUGACUCGUCACACUAUCAUUAACUGAAUCCAUAGGUUAAUGAGGCGAACCGGGGGAACUGAAACAUCUAAGUACCCCGAGGAAAAGAAAUCAACCGAGAUUCCCCCAGUAGCGGCGAGCGAACGGGGAGGAGCCCAGAGCCUGAAUCAGCAUGUGUGUUAGUGGAAGCGUCUGGAAAGGCGCGCGAUACAGGGUGACAGCCCCGUACACAAAAGCGCAUGUGCUGUGAGCUCGAUGAGUAGGGCGGGACACGUGGUAUCCUGUCUGAAUAUGGGGGGACCAUCCUCCAAGGCUAAAUACUCCUGACUGACCGAUAGUGAACCAGUACCGUGAGGGAAAGGCGAAAAGAACCCCGGCGAGGGGAGUGAAACAGAACCUGAAACCGUGUACGUACAAGCAGUGGGAGCCUCUUUUAUGGGGUGACUGCGUACCUUUUGUAUAAUGGGUCAGCGACUUAUAUUCUGUAGCAAGGUUAACCGAAUAGGGGAGCCGGAGGGAAACCGAGUCUUAACCGGGCGUUAAGUUGCAGGGUAUAGACCCGAAACCCGGUGAUCUAGCCAUGGGCAGGUUGAAGGUUGGGUAACACUAACUGGAGGACCGAACCGACUAAUGUUGAAAAAUUAGCGGAUGACCUGUGGCUGGGGGUGAAAGGCCAAUCAAACCGGGAGAUAGCUGGUUCUCCCCGAAAGCUAUUUAGGUAGCGCCUCGUGAAUUCAUCUCCGGGGGUAGAGCACUGUUUCGGCCAGGGGGCCAUCCCGGCUUACCAACCCGAUGCAAACUGCGAAUACCGGAGAAUGUUAUCACGGGAGACACACGGCGGGUGCUAACGUCCGUCGUGAAGAGGGAAACAACCCAGACCGCCAGCUAAGGUCCCAAAGUCAUGGUUAAGUGGGAAACGAUGUGGGAAGGCCCAGACAGCCAGGAUGUUGGCUUAGAAGCAGCCAUCAUUUAAAGAAAGCGUAAUAGCUCACUGGUCGAGUCGGCCUGCGCGGAAGAUGUAACGGGGCUAAACCAUGCACCGAAGCUGCGGCAGCGACACUGUGUGUUGUUGGGUAGGGGAGCGUUCUGUAAGCCUGCGAAGGUGUGCUGUGAGGCAUGCUGGAGGUAUCAGAAGUGCGAAUGCUGACAUAAGUAACGAUAAUGCGGGUGAAAAACCCGCACGCCGGAAGACCAAGGGUUCCUGUCCAACGUUAAUCGGGGCAGGGUGAGUCGACCCCUAAGGCGAGGCCGAAAGGCGUAGUCGAUGGGAAACGGGUUAAUAUUCCCGUACCUGGUGUUACUGCGAAGGGGGGACGGAGAAGGCUAUGUUGGCCGGGCGACGGUUGUCCCGGUUUAAGCGUGCAGGCUGGUUUUCCAGGCAAAUCCGGAAAAUCAAGGCUGAGGCGUGACGACGAGGCACUACGGUGCUGAAGCAACAAAUGCCCUGCUUCCAGGAAAAGCCUCUAAGCCUCAGGUAACAUCAGAUCGUACCCGAAACCGACACAGGUGGUCAGGUAGAGAAUACCAAGGCGCUUGAGAGAACCCGGGUGAAGGAACUAGGCAAAAUGGUGCCGUAACUUCGGGAGAAGGCACGCUGACACGUAGGUGAAGCGGUUUACCCGUGGAGCUGAAGUCAGUCGAAGAUACCAGCUGGCUGCAACUGUUUAUUAAAAACACAGCACUGUGCAAACACGAAAGUGGACGUAUACGGUGUGACGCCUGCCCGGUGCCGGAAGGUUAAUUGAUGGGGUCAGCGCAAGCGAAGCUCCUGAUCGAAGCCCCGGUAAACGGCGGCCGUAACUAUAACGGUCCUAAGGUAGCGAAAUUCCUUGUCGGGUAAGUUCCGACCUGCACGAAUGGCGUAAUGAUGGCCAGGCUGUCUCCACCCGGGACUCAGUGAAAUUGAACUCGCUGUGAAGAUGCAGUGUACCCGCGGCAAGACGGAAAGACCCCGUGAACCUUUACUAUAGCUUGACACUGAACACUGGUCCUUGAUGUGCAGGAUAGGUGGGAGGCUUUGAAGUGUGGACGCCAGUCUGCAUGGAGCCGUCCUUGAAAUACCACCCUUUAAUGGCUGGUGUUCUAACGUAGACCCGUGAACCGGGUUGCGGACAGUGUCUGGUGGGUAGUUUGACUGGGGCGGUCUCCUCCUAAAGCGUAACGGAGGAGCACGAAGGUUGGCUAAUCCUGGUCGGACAUCAGGAGGUUAGUGCAAUGGCAUAAGCCAGCUUGACUGCGAGCGUGACGGCGCGAGCAGGUGCGAAAGCAGGUCAUAGUGAUCCGGUGGUUCUGAAUGGAAGGGCCAUCGCUCAACGGAUAAAAGGUACUCCGGGGAUAACAGGCUGAUACCGCCCAAGAGUUCAUAUCGACGGCGGUGUUUGGCACCUCGAUGUCGGCUCAUCACAUCCUGGGGCUGAAGUAGGUCCCAAGGGUAUGGCUGUUCGCCAUUUAAAGUGGUACGCGAGCUGGGUUUAGAACGUCGUGAGACAGUUCGGUCCCUAUCUGCCGUGGGCGCUGGAGAACUGAGGGGGGCUGCUCCUAGUACGAGAGGACCGGAGUGGACGCAUCACUGGUGUUCGGGUUGUCAUGCCAAUGGCACUGCCCGGUAGCUAAAUGCGGAAGAGAUAAGUGCUGAAAGCAUCUAAGCACGAAACUUGCCCCGAGAUGAGUUCUCCCUGAGACUACAAGUCUCCUGAAGGAACGUUGAAGACGACGACGUUGAUAGGCCGGGUGUGUAAGCGCAGCGAUGCGUUGAGCUAACCGGUACUAAUGAACCGUGAGGCUUAACCUUACAACGCCGAAGGUGUUU